rnacentral:rRNA from 1 species
AUUGAACGCUAGCGGGAUGCUUUACACAUGCAAGUCGAACGAGUGGCGGACGGGUGAGUAAUAUAUCGGAACUUGCCCAGUAGCGGGGGAUAACUACUCGAAAGAGUGGCUAAUACCGCAUACUAUUAGAGCGGCCUAUAUCUGAUUAGCUAGUUGGUGGGGUAAAGGCUAACCAAGGCCACGAUCCGUAGCUGGUUUGAGAGGACGACCAGCCAAACUGGAACUGAGACAGGGCCAAGACUCCGACGGGAGGCAGCAGUGGGGAAUUUUGGAAAAUGGGGGAAACCCUGAUCCAGACAUCCCGCGUGUAUGAGAAGGCCUUCGGGUUGUAAAGUACUUUUGGCAGAGAAGCGGUAACUGCAGAAUAAGCACCGGCUAACUACGUGCCAGCAGCCGCGGUAAUUC